UACGUAGGUGGCAAGCGUUAUCCGGAUUUACUGGGUGUAAAGGGCGUGUAGGCGGGGACGCAAGUCAGAUGUGAAAACCACGGGCUCAACCUGUGGCCUGCAUUUGAAACUGUGUUUCUUGAGUACUGGAGAGGCAGACGGAAUUCCUAGUGUAGCGGUGAAAUGCAUAGAUAUCACGCAGAACUCCGAUUGCGAAGGCAGCAUACCGGCGCCCUACUGACGCUGAGGCACGAAAGCGUGGGUAUCGAACAGG
rnacentral:rRNA from 1 species